rnacentral:rRNA from 1 species
GCCUACGGGGCGCAGCAGUGGGGAAUAUUGCACAAUGGGGGAAACCCUGAUGCAGCGACGCCGCGUGAGUGAAGAAGUAUCUCGGUAUGUAAAGCUCUAUCAGCAGGGAAGAAAAUGACGGUACCUGACUAAGAAGCCCCGGCUAACUACGUGCCAGCAGCCGCGGUAAUACGUAGGGGGCAAGCGUUAUCCGGAUUUACUGGGUGUAAAGGGAGCGUAGACGGCGCUGCAAGUCCGGAGUGAAAGUCCAUGGCUUA